GCGGUGCGCUCCGUCACCAGGGAGUGCGGGAAUCCGCCGUUUGCGCUGAGGCAAUGGCGGCAGCUGCGCCGGUGGCCGCGGACGACGAUGAGCGGCGGCGGCGGCCGGGGGCUGCACUGGAGGACUCCCGGCCCCAGGAAGGGGCAAAUGGUGAGGCCGAGUCAGGUGAGCUCAGCCGGCUUCGGGCUGAGCUGGCAGGCGCCCUGGCAGAAAUGGAAACCAUGAAGGCUGUGGCAGAGGUGAGCGAGAGCACGAAGGCCGAGGCUGUGGCUGCGGUGCAGCGGCAGUGCCAAGAGGAGGUGGCCUCGCUGCAGGCCAUCCUGAAAGACUCCAUCAGCAGCUAUGAAGCCCAGAUCACCGCCCUGAAGCAGGAGCGACAGCAGCAGCAGCAGGACUGUGAGGAGAAGGAGCGGGAGCUGGGCCGCCUGAAGCAGCUGCUGUCCCGGGCCUACCCCCUGGACUCCCUGGAGAAGCAGAUGGAAAAGGUUGGGAUUGGGAUGGCUUCCCUGCUGCCCUGGGAUUUGGAAGGAUGUUGAGGAUUGUGGAUGUCCCAUUCCCUGGUCAUGGGGUGCGGGGCACCCAG
rnacentral:sRNA from 1 species